UUCUUUUUGUUGAAACUGGGGGAGUUGUCUUAUUCUUAUCUGUAAUUAUUUGCUCUGUUCCUUUUGGGCAAUCUUAGUCUUUUAUUUGAAUUUAGCUAAUGUUAAUUUCAGGAGGAAUGGCAAAGAGCAACUUCAAACAAGAGCAUGAUCUUGAGAAGAGAAGAGCAGAGGCCGCAAGGAUUAGGGAGAAAUACCCAGACAGGAUCCCGGUUUUAAUAUAGGCCGAAAAUAAAAAGGAAAAUUGCAAGCCCAAGUGUUUCAUGAAUAUAUUCAGCAUUGAUGCAAAAAUAUUUUGUUUGUUAUGGCUGAAUUAUUGUUCUUAUUAUUGGGCCAGAAUUCAAACUAUCAUAAGUCCAAUUCAUCUUGCAUGCUUGGUCCGAAAUCCUAAGGCUAUGGGGCACAACAUUGUUUUAUUAAAAGAAACCCAUUCCUUUGAUUAUGUGUUGCAUGCUCCAACGGAUAUCAUUCUUUUGGAAUCCAAAUUUUAUUAAUUGGAGUUAUUGCAGUACAUGGGAACUAUGAGAGAGAAAGUGUGAUUGACAUGAUGGUAAUCAUAAUGCUACACGCCACUCUAAGGGAAGCAAAAGCAAGCUAUUGUAAAUUAAUUAGUUUAACCACUUUGAAAUUGCUUUUUCUUCAGACUCUCUUUUCUCUCUCAUCUCUUUCUUCUUCUCUCUUCGGUCAUUAACCAGGAAGCCAUGGAAGCUACUUGGAGCUACCGAAAGGAAGGGAAAGCAAGCAUAAAGACCAUCGAGUUGAUGGCACGAAAAAGAAAAGGAAAAGUAUGUUGUGGCUGAGAUCAUCACCAAAUGUGGUAAGAUUUGGUGAGGUAAUCUCGGAUCCUUCAUACUCAAAAAGAAGGAAGAAGAUUCGGCCAGCAAGGGAGAUUCUUGAAGCAUGGCUUGUCUCUGAUUCUGCUUAACCACCACAGGAAGUAGCUAGAGUGGCGAAGUGAUGGAAGAGGCAGAGAUUGGAGCAGAUAAAGCCAUCAUCAUCAUGAAGCAUCAAGGGCCAGAAAUCCAUCUUGGAGAGGAAGCCAAGGAUGGAGCGCUCGGAUUGAUGAAGAGUGAUGACCAAGGAAGGACUAGAGGUAAUUGCAUGUUGGGUUUUGCAUGGUUAUCUCUUCUCUCUCUGUGUGGCCGAACCGGAUAUGUUUCUUGAAGGAAAAGAAGUUAGGCUUGGGUGUUGGCUUCAAGUGUGGAGGCUUCCCUCUUCUAUAAAAAGAGAGAACAACCACGGGUUGAAGCAAGGAGAAAAUUUGAGAGUGCAAGGCACAGAGUUUUCAGAGCUACCUGAGCUAACAGAUUUCUCUUCUCCUUCAAUGUAUUCUGUUUAAUAUUUUUCUGUUUAAUUUUGUCAUGUCUUGAGUCUCAUGAAAAAAGGUAAAUAGUGAGGUUUGUAAGAAAAAGCCAUAGAGCGGAAAAAGGCAGAGAGUGCAAAAUUAAAAGAAAAAGCCAUAGAUGUCUUAGAGUUCCUUUGUACAUCUAUGUUGUGUUUCAUGAUUCUGUGGGAAUCCCCUUGUAAGUUGGGUUAGCACUUUACAAUUUGUAAUCUGGAUGAUUAUAGUGAAAUUCCAUCAUUGUUGUGAUGGAGACUGGAUGUAGGCUGCACUGCACUUAGCAGCUGAACCAGGAUA